UACAGAGGGUGCGAGCGUUAAUCGGAGUUACUGGGCGUAAAGGGCGCGUAGGCGGGGGGAGAAGUCGGGUGUGAAAGCCCUCGGCUCAACCGAGGAACGGCGCUCGAGACUCUCUCUCUUGAGUCCCGGAGAGGACGAUGGAAUUCCCGGUGUAGCGGUGAAAUGCGCAGAUAUCGGGAAGAACACCCGUGGCGAAGGCGGUUCUCUGGGACGGUACUGACGCUGAGACGCGAAAGCGUGGGGAGCGAACAGG
rnacentral:rRNA from 1 species